rnacentral:rRNA from 1 species
GAUGAACGCUGGCGGCGUGCCUAAUACAUGCAAGUCCAGCGAACAGACGAGGAGCUUGCUUCUCUGACGUUAGCGGCGGACGGGUGAGUAACACGUGGAUAACCUACCUAUAAGACUGGGAUAACUUCGGGAAACCGGAGCUAAUACCGGAUAAUAUAUUGAACCGCAUGGUUCAAUAGUGAAAGACGGUUUUGCUGUCACUUAUAGAUGGAUCCGCGCCGCAUUAGCUAGUUGGUAAGGUAACGGCUUACCAAGGCAACGAUGCGUAGCCGACCUGAGAGGGUGAUCGGCCACACUGGAACUGAGACACGGUCCAGACUCCUACGGGAGGCAGCAGUAGGGAAUCUUCCGCAAUGGGCGAAAGCUUGACGGAGCAACGCCGCGUGAGUGAUGAAGGUCUUCGGAUCGUAAAACUCUGUUAUUAGGGAAGAACAAAUGUGUAAGUAACUAUGCACGUCUUGACGGUACCUAAUCAGAAAGCCACGGCUAACUACGUG